CUUGCUUCUCUUGAGAGCGGCGGACGGGUGAGUAAUGCCUAGGAAUCUGCCUGGUAGUGGGGGAUAACGUUCGGAAACGGACGCUAAUACCGCAUACGUCCUACGGGAGAAAGCAGGGGACCUUCGGGCCUUGCGCUAUCAGAUGAGCCUAGGUCGGAUUAGCUAGUUGGUGGGGUAAUGGCUCACCAAGGCUACGAUCCGUAACUGGUCUGAGAGGAUGAUCAGUCACACUGGAACUGAGACACGGUCCAGACUCCUACGGGAGGCAGCAGUGGGGAAUAUUGGACAAUGGGCGAAAGCCUGAUCCAGCCAUGCCGCGUGUGUGAAGAAGGUCUUCGGAUUGUAAAGCACUUUAAGUUGGGAGGAAGGGUUGUAGAUUAAUACUCUGCAAUUUUGACGUUACCGACAGAAUAAGCACCGGCUAACUCUGUGCCAGCAGCCGCGGUAAUACAGAGGGUGCACGCGUUAAUCGGAAUUACUGGGCGUAAAGCGCGCGUAGGUGGUUUGUUAAGUUGGAUGUGAAAUCCCCGGGCUCAACCUGGGAACUGCAUUCAAAACUGACUGACUAGAGUAUGGUAGAGGGUGGUGGAAUUUCCUGUGUAGCGGUGAAAUGCGUAGAUAUAGGAAGGAACACCAGUGGCGAAGGCGACCACCUGGACUAAUACUGACACUGAGGUGCGAAAGCGUGGGGAGCAAACAGGAUUAGAUACCCUGGUAGCCCACGCCGUAAACGAUGUCAACUAGCCGUUGGGAAGCCUUGAGCUUUUAGUGGCGCAGCUAACGCAUUAAGUUGACCGCCUGGGGAGU
rnacentral:rRNA from 1 species